AGGGGUAUAGCUCAGUUGGUAGAGCGGCGGUCUCCAAAACCGCAGGUCGCGGGUUCGAAUCCUGCUGCCCCUG
rnacentral:tRNA from 1 species